GACGAACGCUGGCGGGGUGCUUAACUCAUGCAAGUCGAACGGAAAGGCCCUGCUUUUGUGGGGUGCUCGAGUGGCGAACGGGUGAGUAACACGUGAGUAACCUGCCCUUGACUUUGGGAUAACUUCAGGAAACUGGGGCUAAUACCGGAUAGGAGCUCCUGCUGCAUGGUGGGGGUUGGAAAGUUUCGGCGGUUGGGGAUGGACUCGCGGCUUAUCAGCUUGUUGGUGGGGUAGUGGCUUACCAAGGCUUUGACGGGUAGCCGGCCUGAGAGGGUGACCGGCCACAUUGGGACUGAGAUACGGCCCAGACUCCUACGGGAGGCAGCAGUGGGGAAUAUUGCACAAUGGGCGGAAGCCUGAUGCAGCAACGCCGCGUGCGGGAUGACGGCCUUCGGGUUGUAAACCGCUUUCGCCUGUGACGAAGCGUGAGUGACGGUAAUGGGUAAAGAAGCACCGGCUAACUACGUG
rnacentral:rRNA from 1 species